rnacentral:rRNA from 1 species
GAUGAACGCUGGCGGCGUGCUUAACACAUGCAAGUCGAACGGAAAGGCCAGUGCUUGCACUGGUACUCGAGUGGCGAACGGGUGAGUAACACGUGGGUGAUCUGCCCUGCACUUCGGGAUAAGCCUGGGAAACUGGGUCUAAUACCGGAUAGGACAAUGGUUUGGAUGCCGUUGUGGAAAGUUUUUUCGGUGUGGGAUGAGCUCGCGGCCUAUCAGCUUGUUGGUGGGGUAGUGGCCUACCAAGGCGUCGACGGGUAGCCGGCCUGAGAGGGUGUACGGCCACAUUGGGACUGAGAGACGGCCCAGACUCCUACGGGAGGCAGCAGUGGGGAAUAUUGGACAAUGGGCGCAAGCCUGAGGCAGCGACGCCGCGUGGGGGAUGACGGCCUUCGGGUUGUAAACUCCUUUCGCUAGGGACGAAGCGUAUUUGUGACGGUACCUGGAGAAGAAGCACCGGCUAACUACGUG